rnacentral:rRNA from 1 species
GACUCCUGGCAACGGAUAUCUCGGCUCUUGCAUCGAUGAAGAACGUAGCGAAAUGCGAUGCUUGGUGUGAAUUGCAGAAUCCCGUGAACCAUCGAUCCUUUGAACGCAAGUUGCGCCCGAGGCGACCCUGCCGAGGGCAUGCCUGCUUGGGCGUC